CUCAGGCUCGUGGCUCCGCCCCCACCCUUUCGGUCAGGUUGAUGGAGUGAAGUAAAGACAGAAGAAGAAGAAGAAGAGUUAUAGCUGUGGAUGUAGCUAACGACCGUGACUACGGAAACACUAUUUAGCUCUACUCCUGUGUUUUAUCACUUUUUAUUGUUGGAUUUAUCUUCUGGUGCUUUUCACUGCUUUUUCACCGCUUUACGGUCCGAGUGGUGUCUCCUUGGCAACAUGAUCAACUGUCCCUGCGAAGUUUGGAUCAAGUGUUUCCCCCUCGGUCGGAGAAUAAACCGGAUAUUUCACCGCUAACGACAGCAUUAACGUGUUUACGGUGCUCACAGGCGGAGGCUGGGCGGCUCUGGAUGGUUUUCACUCCGUUUUUCUAACUUUUUCCACUUCAAACCAAGUGUUUGGGACACCGCGAGACAAUAGUGAUCCGGAUAAUGAAGAAAUCCUGACCUAUGAGGAGAUGGCCUUGUACCACCAGCCAGCCAACAGGAAGCACCCAUCGCACUGAUUGGUCCAACCAGUUGUGGGCAGGCGGAGCUCCGACAGAGGCUGCUCACCAACCAACCAGAGAGGUUUGCUGGAGCUGUGCCUCACACCACACGGAGCAGGCGUGA
rnacentral:lncRNA from 1 species